rnacentral:rRNA from 1 species
GACGAACUGUCCUAACGUUGUUCGGAAUCACUGGGCGUAAAGCGCACGUAGGCGGAUGUGUCAGUCAGGGGUGAAAUCCCGGAGCUCAACUUCGGAACUGCCUUUGAUACAGCACGUCUUGAGUCCGAUAGAGGUGGGUGGAAUUCCUAGUGUAGAGGUGAAAUUCGUAGAUAUUAGGAAGAACACCGGUGGCGAAGGCGGCCCACUGGAUCGGUACUGACGCUGAGGUGCGAAAGCGUGGGGAGCAAACAGG